UACAGAGGUCCCGAGCGUUGUUCGGAUUUAUUGGGCGUAAAGGGUGCGUAGGCGGCGGAGUAAGUUGGGUGUGAAAUCCCGGGGCUUAACCUCGGAAUGGCAUUCAAUACUGCUUCGCUCGAGUACUGGAGAGGAGGCUGGAAUUUACGGUGUAGCAGUGAAAUGCGUAGAUAUCGUAAGGAAGGCCGGUGGCGAAAAGCGAGCCUCUGGACAGUUACUGACGCUGAUGCACGAAGGCCAGGGGAGCAAACGGG
rnacentral:rRNA from 1 species